UGACGUCAAAUCAUCAUGCCCCUUAUGACCUGGGCUACACACGUGCUACAAUGGACGGUACAACGAGUUGCGAAGUCGUGAGGCCAAGCUAAUCUCUUAAAGCCGUUCUCAGUUCGGAUUGUAGGCUGCAACUCGCCUACAUGAAGUUGGAAUCGCUAGUAAUCGCGGAUCAGCA
rnacentral:rRNA from 1 species